AACGAACGCUGGCGGCAGGCUUAACACAUGCAAGUCGAGCGCCCCGCAAGGGGAGCGGCAGACGGGUGAGUAACGCGUGGGAAUCUACCCAUCUCUACGGAAUAACGCAUGGAAACGUGUGCUAAUACCGUAUACGUCCUUCGGGAGAAAGAUUUAUCGGAGAUGGAUGAGCCCGCGUUGGAUUAGCUAGUUGGUGGGGUAAAGGCCUACCAAGGCGACGAUCCAUAGCGGGUCUGAGAGGAUGAUCAGCCACACUGGGACUGAUACACGGCCCAGACUCCUACGGGAGGCAGCAGUGGGGAAUAUUGGACAAUGGGCGCAAGCCUGAUCCAGCCAUGCCGCGUGAGUGAUGAAGGCCCUAGGGUUGUAAAGCUCUUUCACCGGUGAAGAUAAUGACGGUAACCGGAGAGGAAGCCCCGGCUAACUUCGUGCCAGCCGCCGCGGUAACAC
rnacentral:rRNA from 1 species